AUCGCCUUUGACGGCAGAACACGCUGGUUACGAGCUGGGAGCGAGCUCAUUAAGAGCACGCGCAUUUUUAGCGGUCCGGGGCUGUAGGAGAAACACAACUUAACUCACACAGACUGAUGCGACAAAACCACUACCAUCUCUCCUAUGGACUUUUUACUGUCUACAGUCUCAGAUCAGCACAGCCCUGCCCUCCAGCACUAUCAGCAGCAGGAGCAGCAGAAACCAGCAACAUUGUACCCAUCAGGACGAACGAGAAAGCACAUUUUCCACCGAGAGGAGCAGCAUCUGAACCACCAUGCUGAUAAUGAAGACUCCAGCCUGUCCAGAAAUAUCCACGGUUUAAUAUUUAUUCAACUGUAGAAUUUUCUGAGUUUACUAAAAUAAAGUCAGAGUAACAUCUGA
ensembl:lncRNA